rnacentral:sRNA from 1 species
CCGAGGUCCCAGACGCCCGGCGCAGCAGGAGCGGCGGGGCGUGCCUGGCCUGCGGGACGCGACUGAUCGCAGUGGGGCGAAGCGGGGCCGGAGCCGCCCGCGGUCAGGAGCAGCAAUGUCUGUGCAGGUAGCUGCUCCUGGAAGUGCAGGGCUGGGCCCAGAGCGCCUGAGCCCUGAGGAGCUGGUGCGGCAGACGCGGCAAGUGGUCCAGGGGCUGGAGGCGCUGCGGGCAGAGCACCAUGGCCUGUCUGGGCACCUGGCAGAGGCCCUGGCGGGACAGGGCCCGGCAACCGGCUUGGAGAUGCUGGAGGAAAAGCAGCAGGUGGUGAGCCACUCGCUGGAGGCCAUCGAGCUGGGGCUGGGCGAGGCCCAGGUGCUGCUGGCCCUGUCGGCACAUGUGGGUGCACUGGAGGCAGAGAAGCAGCGGCUGCGCUCGCAGGCCCGGCGGCUGGCCCAGGAGAAUGUGUGGCUGCGGGAGGAACUGGAGGAGACGCAGCGGCGGCUUCGGGCCAGCGAGGAGUCCGUGGCCCAGCUGGAGGAGGAGAAGCGCCACCUGGAGUUCCUGGGGCAGCUGCGACAGUACGACCCACCGGCGGAGAGCCAGGUGCCACGGGCAGGGCGAGGCGGGGGGUGCUGGGCCCUUCAUAGAGCCCCACAGUCCCCCAGACCCUCCUUAGAAUCCCACAGUCCCCAAGACCCUUCUUAGAAUCCCACAGUCCCCCAGACCCUCCUUAGAAUGCCACAGUCCCCAAGACCCUCCUUAGAAUGCCACAGUCCCCCAACCCUCCACAGAGCCCCCAGACCCACCAGAACUUCCACAGACACCCCCACUAGCUACUCCACGAAGCCCCCGAGCCUCGCCAGACCCCCAGGGGGCCUCUGACGCUCGUGACCACCACCUCCCUCAAACCUUGAGAUAGGCUGGGUGCAGUGGCUCACGCUUGUAAUCCCAACACUUUGGGAGGCCGAGGCGAGCAGAUCACCUGAGGUCCGGAUUUCGAGACCAGCAUGACCAACAUGGAGAAACCCCGUCUCUACUAAAAAUACAAAAUUAGCCGGGUGUGGUGGCACAUGCCUGUAAUCCCAGCUACUCCGGAAGCUGAGGCAGGAGAAUGGCUUGAACCCAGGAGGUGGAGGUUGCUGUGAGCCAAGAUCGCACCAUUGCACUCCAGCCUGUGCAACGAGCGAAACUCCGUCUCAAAAACAAAAAACAAAA